UCAGCUGAUAUUUAAUCCAGGUCUGGUCAGUUGAUAUUUGAUCCAGGUCUGGUCAGUAGUCAGCUGAUAUUUGAUCCAGGUCUGGUCAGUAGUCAGCUGAUAUUUAAUCCAGGUCUGGUCAGUAGUCAGCUGAUAUUUGAUCCAGUUCUGGUCAGUAGUCAGUUGAUAUUUGAUCCAGGUCUGGUCAGUAGUCAGUUGAUAUUUAAUCCAGGUAUGGUCAGUUGAUAUUUAAUCCAGGUCUGGUCAGUGGUCGGUCAGUAAUGUAACAGUGAAGACAUAUCUAACAGUAAAAGUCUUGGACAGGACAGGAGGAGUGUGUUGUUUGGAAAAAGGACUUCCCAGAACGUCUGUGAUUGUUUUUGUCUCGGAGAACAGAGUGGAGAGACGGAGAGAGUGUACACAUGUGUUUGGUCAUUUCUCCUCUUCGUUUUGUUCUACUUCCUGUAUCACACGGGAACAGCCAAUCAGUUCAUGCGUUGCAGUAACGAUGAUGACUAGUGAAUAGUCUAGAAUCUUCCUCUGUGUUUGGGCUGGUGGUGAUGACGACGCCCAGGAGAGAUGCAGCCCAACCGGAAUACAUGUUAGUGUGAGACUGAGCGUUGUCACGACAACAACCUCCACUGUGUUCCUGUGGAUUUACACAUCACGGUAUUAAUGCUUAGACUGGACGCAUGGUUUCAUGGGGAAUCCAUUACCUACGAAGCUAUGACAAAGUGUGUGUCUCACACUCACACGCACACACACACACACACACACACACACACACACACUUUGACACCACUACCCUUUUGACACACAUCCCUCAGCAAAUUCAGGUCCUUUAGUUUUAGUGUUUUGUGAGUUUUAUUGCUGAAAAAAAUGCAACUGUUAUUGUCGUGUUAUUUCCACAUCACUGAUAUACACCCAGCCCAAAGAAUGUAACGGAGAAAGAGACUUAAUGUAUGUAUCUUGUUUGACUGUGUCCCAAAUGACACCCUAUUUCCUAUAUAGUGCGCUACGUUUUAUCCAGAGCUGGUCUAAAGUAGUGCACUAUGUGUAUGAAACAGGGUGGGACGUAGCCAUUCUGCUGUAGAAGAGAAACAGGCUUGUGUAAUGAAGUGGUUCAAUCAUGUUCCAUUCAAUGGUAUGAGAAUCGAGUUCUGAAAUUCUAUGUUCUGAUUCUAUGAUUCCGUUGUUCCGAUGUUACUGUAACAAGCAGCUCAGAAACCUUACUUACCAGGUAACUCCACUUACCAGGUAACUCCAACCAGGUAACUCCACUUACCAGGUAACUCCACUUACCAGGUAACUCCAACUAGUUUAAUGUACACUUACCAGGUAACUCCACUUACCAGGUAACUCCACUUACCAGGUAACCCCAACUAGUUUAAUGUACACUUACCAGGUAACUCCAACUAGUUUAAUGUACACUUACCAGGUAACUCCACUUACCAGGUAACCCCAACUAGUUUAAUGUACACUUACCAGGUAACCCCAACUAGUUUAAUGUACACUUACCAGGUAACUCCAACUAGUUUACUCUACACUUACCAGGUAACCCCAACUAGUUUUAAUGUACACUUACCAGGUAACCCCAACUAGUUUAAUGUACACUUACCAGGUAACCCCAACUAGUUUAAUGUACACUUACCAGGUAACUCCAACUAGUUUACUCUACACUUACCAGGUAACCCCAACUAGUUUUAAUGUACACUUACCAGGUAAUCCCAACUAGUUUAAUGUACACUUACCAGGUAAUCCCAACUAGUAUACUGUACACUUACCAGGUAACCCCAACUAGUUUUAAUGUACACUUACCAGGUAACCCCAACUAGUUUUAAUGUACACUUACCAGGUAACCCCAACUAGUAUACUCUUCACUUACCAGGUAACCCCAACUAGUUUUAAUGUACACUUACCAGGUAAUCCCAACUAGAUUACUCUACACUUACCAGGUAACUCCAACUAGUUUUAAUGUACACUUACCAGGUAAUCCCAACUAGUUUUCUCUACCCUUACCAGGUAAUCCCAACUAGUAUACUGUACACUUACCAGGUAACUCCAACUAGUUUUAAUGGGGCUCUGCUGGCAUUUCCUCUUCUCUGUCACCAGGUGUCUCCUCCCAACAUAGUGUUUCCUGUAUUCUAAACCCUUCUCCUCCUGCUCUCCCAAAGCAACAUGGAAACAGUAUUCUAAACCCUUCUCCUCCUGCUCUCCCUCGGUCAAUAUGAAAAUAAAACCCAAUUUACAAAUGUA